AGCGAACGCUGGCGGCAGGCCUAACACAUGCAAGUCGAACGAAGCCUUCGGGCUUAGUGGCGGACGGGUGAGUAACACGUGGGAGCGUACCUUUUGGUUCGGAAUAACGCAGAGAAAUUUGCGCUAAUACCGGAUGAGCCCUUCGGGGGAAAGAUUUAUCGCCGAAAGAUCGGCCCGCGUUGGAUUAGGUAGUUGGUGUGGUAAAGGCGCACCAAGCCUACGAUCCAUAGCUGGUCUGAGAGGAUGAUCAGCCACACUGGGACUGAGACACGGCCCAGACUCCUACGGGAGGCAGCAGUGGGGAAUCUUGCGCAAUGGGCGAAAGCCUGACGCAGCCAUGCCGCGUGAAUGAUGAAGGUCUUAGGAUUGUAAAAUUCUUUUACCAAGGACGAUAAUGACGGUACCUGGAGAAAAAGCCCCGGCUAGCUUCGUGCCAGCAGCCGCCGUAACAC
rnacentral:rRNA from 1 species